GCUGUAUAAGAGAACCAACACCUGACUGAGGCAGACAAUGAAAUUUAAAGUUGUCAAAGUAUCAAAAAGUGAAGGAAAGACCUAACUGUUCCAGAUUGAAGAAGUCAGAACAGCUAACUGCAGCAGGACCCUAUGACAGGGCUGCUGACUUCAAGAAGCUCAUAUCUGAGGGAGGAAGAUAGAGCAGUUGAUUGAACAACAGAGCGCGGCGAUGAGUUGAGAAAGAUGCACCUAGGAAAAGUAAGG